rnacentral:rRNA from 1 species
CCAGCAGCCGCGGUAAUACGGAGGGUGCGAGCGUUAAUCGGAAUAACUGGGCGUAAAGGGCACGCAGGCGGAUUUUUAAGUGAGGUGUGAAAGCCCCGGGCUUAACCUGGGAAUUGCAUUUCAGACUGGGGAUCUAGAGUACUUUAGGGAGGGGUAGAAUUCCACGUGUAGCGGUGAAAUGCGUAGAGAUGUGGAGGAAUACCGAAGGCGAAGGCAGCCCCUUGGGAAUGUACUGACGCUCAUGUGCGAAAGCGUGGGGAGCAAACAGGAUUAGAUACCCUGGUAGUCCACGCUGUAAACGCUGUCGAUUUGGGGAUUGGGCUUUAAGCUUGGUGCCCGAAGCUAACGUGAUAAAUCGACCGCCUGGGGAGUACGGCCGCAAGGUUAAAACUCAAAUGAAUUGACGGGGGCCCGCACAAGCGGUGGAGCAUGUGGUUUAAUUCGAUGCAACGCGAAGAACCUUACCUACUCUUGACAUCCAUGGAAUCCUGUAGAGAUACGGGAGUGC